UGGCUAUAGAAUUCUCAGUUGGUAUAGUAUAGGCAGCCUCCAAAAUGGCCCCAGUGAUUCCUACCUUCUGGUAUUCACUCCUUGUGUAAUAGUCCCCGGCGCUAUUGGUCUGUGACUAACAGGACAUGGCAGAAGUGGUGGAAUGUCACUCCCGAGAUUAGAUUAUAAAAGACUGUCUUGGGCUCUCUUGAUCUGCUGGAUCACUCCCUCUGGGGGAGGCCACAUCUGGAGCAGCCCAUGGAGAGGUCAAUGUGCAAGGACCUGAAGCCUCCUGCCAACAAGCACAUGGGGUCUCUUGGAUCACACACUCUGGAGGAAGCCAGGCUAUGUGAGAAGCCCAACUACUCCGCCUCCACCAUGCUGUGAGGAAGUCUCCAUAGCAAGGCCCCAUGGAGAGUGCUGCCUGGCUAGACGCUAGCCCUCCCAGCCAUCCCAGCUAGGGCACCAGACACGUGAGUGACAAGCCAUGUGGGAAGACCUGCCCAGGUAAGGCUCAGGACUCCAGCUUCAGCCACAGUCUAACUGCAAACAAGUGAAAACCACUCAGCUGAGCCCAGUCAGUCCAUGAAAGAGCAAUAAAUUGCUAAUGUAAGCCACUAAGUUUGGGGGUGGAGGUGGUGUUGUAAUGCAGUGAUAGGAAAUUAGAACAGAGGCCCUGGCACGAAAAGCAAGAGGUUUUCAAGGAGUUUCCUGCCCAACAGGCCAAUAGUUUUGAGCAGCGGUUUCUAAACUUAGCUAAGGAAUCCUUUGCCCACUGGAAAUCAUAAUUAGAUCUCUGAUAUGUCAAAGAAACAAAAGCACAGUGGCUCUCUUUUUGAAACAGUGGGAGGCCUGACCAAGCUCUCCUUUUGCCACGUGCCCCUGCAGCAGCCCCCGGGAAAUGAAUGAGCUCUCCACCUGAUCUCCCAGAUCUAACUCUCUCUCUCUCCCUCCCUAAAAAAAUCACAGCAGACUUUGUUCAUCCACACUCCCCUAAUCCAGGGAGAAUCCUGGCCACAGUGUGGAGUUGUGUCCCUAGCAGCCCUGAAAAGUUACAUACUCUGAGGACCUUCCCUUCUUCAGUAGGUAAGCAAGGCCCUGGGUGGCCCCAGUACCCACAUCCUCACUGAUGGGCAACACCCUGCCUUCCUUCUCCAAAGGACAAAGGGUCAUGGUUCAGCAAGCCCUCCUGGGAUGCUAAAAUAACUUUUCUGCCAAGAGACACUGUUAUCAGCCUUUGCUUCUGGCCCCUUUCUGGUGGAGAAGGAAACUAGUAUAUAUGAGGCCUGUUGUCCUAUAAUGUAAAAAGAGACCCAAAGAGGUUCAAGCUCUCAGUAAAACAAGAGUAGAGAUUUCUCCAGCCCCAGUCCAAGCCUGUCUUCACAGCAGUAUCAGCCACUGCAUGCAUGAAGAUGGUGGCCAUGGGCAUGGGAGCAGGGAUACACAUCUCUCUUCCAAGGCCAGGCCAUGCAGAACCCCAACUCUUCCCCUAAACCUUUCCAGGGCAGAGUGACCCAACGUGUUCCCUCCCUACCUGGGUUAUCCUAGGUGAUGUGGAGACUGACUUGCUCUAGGUGGGCUAGUGCCCAAGAGCCACAAUCUCCCUGUGGAGACGGUAUGUACUGCGUAGAUCUUGUUUCCUUUUUGUCCUUAUUGCCAAAUCCCCCCAAAAUUCUGUUUUGCUCAUUGUGCUGCCUUCAGCCGAGGGAGAGCAAGGACUUGCAUAAUAAGCACUUGACUCUCCUCCAAAGCCAAGGUUUGUUCCAAUGGCUUUGACUUUCAACCUCCUCACGUCUCCUUGAAAAGAUGAACCGCACUUUUGUACCACAGGACAUGCCAGGAAUAGCUCACAUCAAAUGCUUUCGGGAGGGGUGCCUAUGAGGAAGAGGCCGCAGGUCAGCCAGACAGCUCAAAGGUACCAUUAAGAUGAUGGACGCCUUUUUCCUUGGUGCUUGGGCAGGCUGCUGAGCUUCAUUACUCAUCUCUUCCGCAGGGAGGUCACCAUGCAAAGGGGGUGUCUUGUGCUCCUCUAGCCAGGAUGCAAGCCCUGGGGACCACAUUCACAUCCUUGGGAACAGAGGAUGUGGGAGCAGAACUUCAGAUGCUCUAACUCAAAGGGAGCCUGGCCGCUCAGUGUGUCCCUGCCUGAAAGCAGGGCUCAGGCUAAAUGAACACAGGCCCCUUCCAGGCCACUGUGGCAAGUCACAACCUCUCUCCCCACCACUAUCACCUCUCCCCCAUACCAGCAGAUUCUUGACAGCCUGCAACUUCCUAUCAAGGGAAAACCGCCAAAGGCAAAGCCAGAUUUCUGACCAAUUUUGAAAUGCCUGAACAGGGAAGGCAUAGUGGCUCAUGUCUAUAAUCCCAGCAUUUUAAGAGACUGGGGCAGGUGGAUCAUUUGAGGCCUGGAGUUCGGGACCAGCCUGGGCAACAGAGUGAGAUUCCAUCUCUAUGAAAAAUAAACAAAAUUAGCUGGGCAUGAUGAUGCGUGCCUGUGGUCCCAGCUAUUCAGGAGAGAAUCUCUGAGGUGGGAGAAUCACCUGAGUCCCUACCCGGAGAUCCA
rnacentral:lncRNA from 10 species